rnacentral:tRNA from 1 species
AGCAGUGUGGUUUAGUCACUAGAACACAGGCCUGGGAGUCAGAAGGACCUGGGUUCUAAUUCCAGCUCUGCUG